AUAGGAUCUGUGUUAAAUUUAUGAGACAAAUAGGAAACAAUGGUCUUCCAAACACAAUAGAAGAUAACUAAGCGUUGGACUGCAGCCACCUACAAAGCACAUGGUGCUCUGCACCACAGAAGUGAAGCACUUUCAGUUUAGCACUCCUUAACUUCAACAACACAGGUAUCUGUUUUGUUUCUGCCACAAAGAACCCACUGGCAAAGUCAGCAUCUUUGAAAUCUGACACAAUUCGGAUAUAGCACGACAGCCAGUUGAGAUGAUCAAUGAGGAAAACAGCUCAUGCUAAUGUGACAAACCGUCUGACACACAGACUUGGUAGGGCCCAGACAGCUUGCUCUUGAACUGCUCCAGUCUCAGAAGAAAUCAGAGAGCACUGGCCAAAAUCUCUUCUUUUCCCAAGGUACCUCACGUUCUGAGCAAAGGAGGUAGUUAAUUAAAUUCAGGCUCUUCACUUAUUCCAACUCACAGUGGCCCACAGUCUGGAUCUACAGUCUCAACACAGACAAAGUCCAGGUGAUGCGAAGGUGCCAGGAAGACACCACUGCUUGGAUGACACGCGAGUAUCUGGCUGAAGGUGUCCGGCUAUGGCUGGCCACUUGUGUUUGAAACAGAAGGCCAGUCCCAUCCUCAGCAACCACCAUUCCUCGCGUGUAACAGCUGCAUUCACAUCUGCACCCCCUGAACAAGUUAUAUGCCACCCCUGCACAUGUGGAUAUCGCAACUACCAGAAACAAGCAGAUUCUUGAAGGGCACUCAAAACUCGUCGUAUCCUGGGAACUCAGAAUAAAUACAGUCCUCUGAAAUAACCUAAAAUAUUUUGACCUCCAAGGCAUCCUACAAGGCUCCUUUAAAAAAGAAAUAAGCUUGAUUUUUAGAACAGAAGGCACGAAGCAGAAGGGAUGCCAAAGAGGAAGGACAGGAUUUUCAGAGGCCUUUGUUGCGUGCUGCUCACUAGUGGAGUGUGGAAGCAACCAUACAGCACGACCAGAAGCAAACAGCCAGGGGUGCCGAAAGCAGGCCUUUCCACUGACAGAGAAAUGAAAGGUCAAAGAGCUUGCUGUUUAACCUGGCACUAGAGCAGUGCACCAAGAUGAUCAUCUCACAGAUAAGGAAGACAGAAACAAAGCUAUUCAUCUGAGUGGACUUGAACAAGACCCUGGCCUACAAAUACUAGUCCUGGUUCUGGCAGAACAGUUUACGAAGUAAUUCUGAGCAAGCUGCAACAUUCACUCUUUACUUUAUUAAUCAGUGAAACAAAGACAGUAUUUGCCUAACUUGUAAUACUUGUGUACACAAACACUAGUAAAUACAGUCAACAGCAACCUUUCAAAAGAAAAAGCCUUGUUCUGAACAUCUACACUACAAGAUAAAAUGCAAAAUUCACAGUAACGCUGCAAUGCACCUGCAAAUUCCACAAUCGAAAAGUGCUUUGAUGUCCUUUCAAGUUUGGGAUCACAAGAAAAGACUCCAAGAGUGAUGAUUUUCAGGGCCAUUUUAAGCUGAACAAAACCACCACAUGAAUGGGCAACCCCAAUGAUCCACCCUACUGAGAACGGUGAAAGGAAAAAAUUACUUAUGCAGCUGCAUGAAUAAUUUAGUGACUCUGAAACAAUACCAUUUAUUUCCUUCAAUUUAGACACUGCCACUUGGUACCAACAUCAUCAUAUUAAAAAAAAUGAAGUAAGAAAGAAGAUUCUUUCCAAAUAUUAGUAAUUGUUGCUGAAAUUCUUCCAAAGAAUUUGUUUCUACACCACAGGAAGCCUGCAAAAUUUCAACCUAAAUUUAGCAGCAACUGGAAUAAAAGGAUAUAAAGAAACUUAGCUACAGCAGGAAAAAUAGCUCCUACUACCACACACUGGUGCCAAAAUACCUAUAAUGAGAUAAAAUGUUUUAUUUAUCAGAAUAUUUUAGAAAUUCUUUCACAACAGUAAUUUAGCUUAAGUACACUUCAUUACCAGAACUCAUUCUUCAAAAGACAAGACUAUUAUAUUUUCAAGAUUCUUUUGUUAAAAACCCAAGUUCUCAUCUUCAGUAGGGAUGUUGUUGGUGAACUGAUAAGAAGAUACUCCCCUACAUGUGCAGAUGUGGCACUGGUAUGUUCCAAACACAACAUUUGUGUGCUUGGCAAUUUUUAACACUACACUAACAUCACUGCCUAAGCAAUUCUUUGCAGUUCCAGAUGUAUUGCGCAAGCACAGAUCUCUAUCAAGCCUAAGCAGGGGAAACGACUUCUCCUCAUUUGCUUCCCCAGGAACAUGCAGAUCACUGAGAUAUCUUCACCAGUUGCAUCCUACAGUAUUCGUUUUUGAUAUUUAGCUAAUCCAGAACAUCACCAUGUCAAGGUAAUUUGUCAGACCCUCUCCAGUAUCAAAGCAACAGGAGAAACUGGAGAUCCUUGCAUGCUCAUGACAGUUCACAGACUACCAAUUUCCAAAACAUGCUCUUUGUGCAUAGCCUGACAGCUGGAGGCUCUGCUGAAUCCUUAUCAUGCCCUAAGCUCAAUUUUCAAUGCUUUGUAGCAGACAAAAGGAAAAGAUGUCAUCUAAUUGACAACGGUAGAAUGGAAGAGGCUGAAAUAAAGGGGUUUAGAGCUAUGUUGAUUCUAUCCUGUUCAAGAGAAUUUACCUUUCAGUCUCUAUAAAAGAUGCUAAGGUAUCAAGUAUGUGCACAUUGUACCCUUGCAAGGCAUACUCUUCAGCUCUUUGUUUUCAAGAGCCUUUAGACAGUGUUUACACUUGAACCAUACACAGCACUUCAGUACUAGCUUCGCCAAUGCCAUACACAGAUAAAAAAAUCAUUUUUCCCUUUUUAUAACAUCCAAAUGCACUGUGAUUUUCCACCAUACUGCACUGUAAGUUCACGUUCAACUUCUUUUUCACUACAAGAGUGAUUUAAGACUCAGAAAUAAAAAAAGGAAUAGCAAAAGGGAAGGACAAAAGAGCAAGUAUGUAUUGAUAGUCUUUCUGAUCAAGACAACUACUGUAUACAGCAACACAGACAAUCCCUGCUGGCAAAGCACGACAAAAACUAUAUGCUUGUGUUAGCACCUAUAAGACCUGGGUGGGGAAUUUAUUUUUCUGAGACCCACAAAGACCUUUCCAACAUCUUCGGCAGACAGCGUUGCCGCAAAACAAGACAAGGAUAAAAAGCAAAGUCAAGAGCUUUAUGCAUUUUAACAACCGUGCUCUCAAGCCAAGUUUGUUCUCAAUGCUUUAGUCAAUCCAUAUUUUGCAGGGUCAUAGCAGGUUGACAGCAGGGCUCUUUGCUGAAGCCAAUCUCUUGAUAACUAAACCAUAAUCAAGUACAGAGGAGCACGGGUUAGAUGAUCCGGGGAAUGGACUGUUUAUUUUACAAGAAGUAGCUGGGAUGCUUUGCCUUGUAUAGCUUGGCAAAGACAGAGACAGAGAGAGGAUACGAUUACUAUCUACAAAUACAUCAAAGGAAUAAAUGCUGAGGACGGAGGGGAGCUACUCAAGAACAAUACUGGCACAACAGUUUAAGAGUAUGAAGUGACCAUAAAUAAAAUUUGGAGCAGAAAUUAUAAAGUUUAUCUUUCAAAAUAGCUUCCAAUUAGAACAGCAGGGAUGAAAACUUUUGAUGACUGUCUUAAUCCACUUUUAUAGCCUCAUCAGCUGGGCACCCACAACAGCCCUUGCACAGCAAAGAACACAAAUAGGAAGGCAAAAUGAAAAACAAGCAACUACAAGAUAAGCUGGCUCACUGUUUCUGGAAGAUACCACAUUGCCAGACAGACAAUAGCAAGAAACAAUAUUUGCUUACUGCACAGUUUCAGAAGCAGUAUUAAGACCGUACUAAGAGGGUAUGUAAGUGCAUGGAAAGAAUGCAACUUCCAGCUUAAGGUGGCUUCCUCUCCCCAUGCGUCUGAAAUUGUUGGGAUAGAAGUCUAUGGAUUUAAGUGUGCCCUACAAACAGCAUGGGAAAUGCAAUGCCUCCCUCUCAAGUUUGAAUGUUUAUCAAUCUCUGCAACGUAGAGCUGACGACUUUUUGUCCUGCAGUGACUGCAUCUCUCAGUGCAACGCAAACAUGGCAUCAGCGUGGCUGAGCACACGUGCACUACGGCAAUUUCUCAGCGAGUUGGAAGUGACAAGGGUAUCCCCCGGACAGAAGUUGUUAUUUCGCACUCAGCCCACUUGAUGUCACUAAUGACCACUACUCGCGAGCAGCUCAAUCACUUCGAGGAGCUGGAGUCACAAAUUCAGACUACGCAAUUCAAAAGGAGAGCACUUACUCUUUUUAUUACAUCUAUACAUUCCUCUGCUAAUUUUAAUCCAUUACGAUAAGCUGUCUCCUUAACAGAGUGGCAUUCAAGGAAACAAAGACUUAAUUAAGAGUGCAAGGCAUAGAUCUGCCUCAAGUACUG